GUCGUAACAAGGUCUCCGUUGGUGAACCAGCGGAGGGAUCAUUACUGAGUUUACGCUCUAUAACCCUUUGUGAACAUACCUAUAACUGUUGCUUCGGCGGGUAGGGUCUCCGUGACCCUCCCGGCCUCCCGCCCCCGGGCGGGUCGGCGCCCGCCGGAGGAUAACCAAACUCUGAUUUAACGACGUUUCUUCUGAGUGGUACAAGCAAAUAAUCAAAACUUUUAACAACGGAUCUCUUGGUUCUGGCAUCGAUGAAGAACGCAGCGAAAUGCGAUAAGUAAUGUGAAUUGCAGAAUUCAGUGAAUCAUCGAAUCUUUGAACGCACAUUGCGCCCGCCAGCAUUCUGGCGGGCAUGCCUGUUCGAGCGUCAUUUCAACCCUCAAGCUCUGCUUGGUGUUGGGGCCCUACAGCUGAUGUAGGCCCUCAAAGGUAGUGGCGGACCCUCCCGGAGCCUCCUUUGCGUAGUAACUUUACGUCUCGCACUGGGAUCCGGAGGGACUCUUGCCGUAAAACCCCCAAUUCUCCAAAGGUUGACCUCGGAUCAGGUAGGAAUACCCGCUGAACUUAAGCAUAUCAAUAAGCGGA
rnacentral:rRNA from 1 species